CCAUUAGCACCCACAAUGUUUAUGAACUUGUAAAUGAGAAAGAAUAGAUUCUGGAAAGUUUUCUCACCUGAAGAACCUUAUGUGUGGACUGGACUAAGAACAGUACACCUUCUCCUCUACAAGUUGCACCAUGAGAAGUCAACGUAACUCCUACUUGUAACAUCCCAAUAAUUAUAGCAUUAAACUAUAAUAGAGUUCUUACAUCAUUGAUAAAAUAGAACAGUAGACACAAGGAAGAAUAAAAGUUUUUC
rnacentral:lncRNA from 1 species